AUUGAACGCUGGCGGCAGGCCUAACACAUGCAAGUCGAACGGUAGCACAGAGAGCAUGCUCUCGGGUGACGAGUGGCGGACGGGUGAGUAACGUCUGGGAAACUGCCCGAUGGAGGGGGAUAACUACUGGAAACGGUAGCUAAUACCGCAUAACGUCGCAAGACCAAAGUGGGGGACCUUCGGGCCUAACACCAUCGGAUGUGCCCAGAUGGGGUUAGCUAGUAGGUGGGGUAAUGGCUCACCUAGGCGACGAUCCCUAGCUGGUCUGAGAGGAUGACCAGCCACACUGGAACUGAGACACGGUCCAGACUCCUACGGGAGGCAGCAGUGGGGAAUAUUGCACAAUGGGCGCAAGCCUGAUGCAGCCAUGCCGCGUGUAUGAAGAAGGCCUUCGGGUUGUAAAGUACUUUCAGCGGGGAGGAAGGCGGUGAAGUUAAUAGCUUCACCGAUUGACGUUACCCGCAGAAGAAGCACCGGCUAACUCCGUGCCAGCAGCCGCAGUAA
rnacentral:rRNA from 1 species